rnacentral:rRNA from 1 species
AUGAACGCUGGCGGCGUGCCUAAUACAUGCAAGUCGAGCGAACGGACGAGAAGCUUGCUUCUCUGAUGUUAGCGGCGGACGGGUGAGUAACACGUGGAUAACCUACCUAUAAGACUGGGAUAACUUCGGGAAACCGGAGCUAAUACCGGAUAAUAUUUUGAACCGCAUGGUUCAAAAGUGAAAGACGGUCUUGCUGUCACUUAUAGAUGGAUCCGCGCUGCAUUAGCUAGUUGGUAAGGUAACGGCUUACCAAGGCAACGAUGCAUAGCCGACCUGAGAGGGUGAUCGGCCACACUGGACCUGAGACACGGUCCAGACUCCUACGGGAGGCAGCAGUAGGGAAUCUUCCGCAAUGGGCGAAAGCCUGACGGAGCAACGCCGCGUGAGUGAUGAAGGUCUUCGGAUCGUAAAACUCUGUUAUUAGGGAAGAACAUAUGUGUAAGUAACUGUGCACAUCUUGACGGUACCUAAUCAGAAAGCCACGGCUAACUACGUG